rnacentral:rRNA from 1 species
UACGGAGGAUGCGAGCGUUAUCCGGAUUUAUUGGGUUUAAAGGGUGCGUAGGCGGCUUUUUAAGUCAGCGGUGAAGUUUUGCAGCUUAACUGUAACAGUGCCGUUGAUACUGGGGAGCUAGGAUUUGGUUGCUGUGGGUGGAAUGUGUGGUGUAGCGGUGAAAUGCUUAGAGAUCACACAGAAUAUCGAUUGCGAAGGCAGCUCACAAAGCCAAGAUUGACGCUGAGGCACGAAAGUGUGGGGAGUCAAACAGGAUUAGA